rnacentral:rRNA from 1 species
AUUGAACGCUGGCGGCAGGCCUAACACAUGCAAGUCGAGCGGAUGAAGGGAGCUUGCUCCUGGUUUCAGCGGCGGACGGGUGAGUAAUGCCUAGGAAUCUGCCUGGUUGUGGGGGAUAACGUCCGGAAACGGGCGCUAAUACCGCAUACGUCCUGAGGGUGAAAGUGGGGGAUCUUCGGACCUCAUGCUAUCAGAUGAGCCUAGGUCGGAUUAGCUAGUUGGUGGGGUAAAGGCCUACCAAGGCGACGAUCCGUAACUGGUCUGAGAGGAUGAUCAGUCACACUGGAACUGAGACUCGGUCCAGACUCCUACGGGAGGCAGCAGUGGGGAAUAUUGGACAAUGGGCGAAAGCCUGAUCCAGCCAUGCCGCGUGUGUGAAGAAGGUCUUCGGAUUGUAAAGCACUUUAAGUUGGGAGGAAGGGCAGUAAGUUAAUACCUUGCUGUUUUGACGUUACCAACAGAAUAAGCACCGGCUAACUUCGUG